ACUCUCAAAGUGAUUGUUAUGGUGCUCUUUGGAAAGUUAUAAAUUAUGUACUUCAGUGUCACAUGGUUGCAGGUGAAACAAAUGUGAUUCUUGAAGUUUCAAGCAAAAAAAUAAUUAAAAAAACAGUAUCUUUUAAAUAGGGAUACUGGAAGAAUUUGGUCCUAAAAUACUGUUGUAAAUUCUGAAGAAACGACUGCUCACCUGUGUCAGCUAGCUAUAUGAAUUGUCACACAGGAUUAUAAGAAAAGUGAAUACCAACUCAGAUUCAAGGAUCCCCUAGAAAGACUUAAAAAAUUGCCGUGACUGGUGUAAGAAGAAAAUGUCAAAAGGUUAUAAAACACUGCGGAGAAAACAUUUUUAAUGAGUCUUCUGGUACCCCGAACUAAGAAAGAUCAGAAAUAAGGUUAUUAUAAUAAAACCAGAUAAUGAAACAAGUGUUCGAGACAUGUUUUCUAGUAUUAUUUCUACCUAUCUAUAUUGCAUAAUUAGUGGUAGGCAAGUUAGGUUGUAAACUGUGAGAAAAACAACACAUUUUUCCAACUCUGGCUCCUUGCUCUGCUGCAGGCAGCUGGGAAUGCUUUCCAGAAAUAGAAGAUGGCUGUAACAAACAAUAAAAUAUAGGCAGUGAGAGCCACAAUGAUCUCUUUAUCACAUCUGUCAUCACUGCACAUACUGACGGAUUUAUCAGAAUGCUAUGUGAGUCUGAAGGCAAUGUGUCACAAUCUGUGGGUAUGCCUGGUCCCAAAGGAUUUAUUGCUUCAUUAGGAACCACAGGAAGAACUUAAAUUAAAUAAAAAAUUUAAAAUAAUGAAUUUAUAUUUCCUAAUAACCUGGAAUGAGAUUUCGACUGCAAUAAUAAACAUGUGCUUCAAUUACA